GAUGAAGAACGCAGUGAAAUGCUAUAAGUAAUGUGAAUUGCAGAAUUCAGUGAAUCAUCGAAUCUUUGAACGCACAUUGCGCCCCCUGGUAUUCCGGGGGGCAUGCCUGUUCGAGCGUCAUUUCACCACUCAAGCCUCGCUUGGUAUUGGGCAACGCGGUCCGCCGCGUGCCUCAAAUCGACCGGCUGGGUCUUCUGUCCCCUAAGCGUUGUGGAAACUAUUCGCUAAAGGGUGUUCGGGAGGCUACGCCGUAAAACAACCCCAUUUCUAAGGUUGACCUCGGAUCAGGUAGGGAUACCCGCUGAACUUAAGCAUAUCAAUAAGCGGAGGA
rnacentral:misc_RNA from 1 species